rnacentral:rRNA from 1 species
AACGAACGCUGGCGGCAGGCCUAACACAUGCAAGUCGAACGCCGUAGCAAUACGGAGUGGCAGACGGGUGAGUAACACGUGGGAACGUACCCUUCGGUUCGGGAUAACUCAGGGAAACUUGAGCUAAUACCGGAUACGUCCGAGAGGAGAAAGAUUUAUCGCCGAGGGAUCGGCCCGCGUCUGAUUAGCUUGUUGGUGAGGUAACGGCUCACCAAGGCGACGAUCAGUAGCUGGUCGAGAGGAUGAUCAGCCACAUUGGGACUGAGACACGGCCCAAACUCCUACGGGAGGCAGCAGUGGGGAAUAUUGGACAAUGGGCGCAAGCCUGAUCCAGCCAUGCCGCGUGAGUGAUGAAGGCCCUAGGGUUGUAAAGCUCUUUUACCCGGGAAGAUAAUGACGGUACCGCAAGAAUAAGCCCCGGCUAACUUCGUGCCAGCCGCCGCCGUAAU